GGGGAUGAGAACCAUUUCCUUAACCUGGUGCUAUAGCUGCCUAUCUCCUUUCCUGCAGUGUCGCAGUAGGGAGUGGGCAGAAAAUGGAGACUUGUUGGCGCAGGCUCCUUUUCACAGAUUUAGUCCUAUCUUCCAUGACCUUUUAUAAUGGAAGGGAUCGUUUACACUUGAGAAGAACUACUGAACAGCACGUGCCAGAGAUUGAGGUCCAGGUCAAACGUAGAAGGACAGCCUCACUGAGCAACCAAGAGUGUCACUUGUACCCAAGGCGUUCUCAGCAACAGCAAAUUCCUGUGGUGGAUUUCCAGGCAGAACUGAGACAGGCGUUCUUAGCUGAGACACCAAGAGGUGGUUAAAGCAGUAUUGGAACUGUGGGGUGGUGGAAGUCAACAAAAACAGGACCUAUCCACUGAUUGUGAAACUUUGGUCAAGCUUACACUGUGUUAAUAGCCUGCAUCAAACCUUUAUUUAUUGCCCUUCUCCAAGUAUUAAGGAUCUUGAAAUUUUAGUGUUGACAACUGCUAUUGUGGAACAGCAAUCAUGACUGUGGGUAAGAGUAGCAAGAUGCUCCAGCAUAUUGACUAUAGAAUGAGAUGUAUCCUGCAAGAUGGAAGAAUCUUCAUUGGCACCUUUAAGGCUUUUGACAAGCAUAUGAAUUUGAUCCUCUGUGAUUGUGAUGAGUUCAGGAAGAUCA
rnacentral:lncRNA from 1 species